rnacentral:rRNA from 1 species
GAUGAACGCUGGCGGCGUGCCUAAUACAUGCAAGUCGAGCGAACAGACGAGGAGCUUGCUCCUCUGACGUUAGCGGCGGACGGGUGAGUAACACGUGGAUAACCCACCUAUAAGACUGGGAUAACUUCGGGAAACCGGAGCUAAUACCGGAUAAUAUAUUGAACCGCAUGGUUCAAUAGUGAAAGACGGUUUUGCUGUCACUUAUAGAUGGAUCCGCGCUGCAUUAGCUAGUUGGUAAGGUAACGGCUUACCAAGGCAACGAUGCGUAGCCGACCUGAGAGGGUGAUCGGCCACACUGGAACUGAGACACGGUCCAGACUCCUACGGGAGGCAGCAGUAGGGAAUCUUCCGCAAUGGGCGAAAGCCUGACGGAGCAACGCCGCGUGAGUGAUGAAGGUCUUCGGAUCGUAAAACUCUGUUAUUAGGGAAGAACAAAUGUGUAAGUAACUAUGCACGUCUUGACGGUACCUAAUCAGAAAGCCACGGCUAACUACGUG